rnacentral:rRNA from 1 species
GACGAACGCUGGCGGCGUGCUUAAUACAUGCAAGUCGAGGGACGAAACCGGCAUGGGCAACCAUGCCGGCUGAAACCGGCGAACGGGUGAGUAACACGUGGGCAACGUGCCCCAGACUCAGGAAUAACAACGGGAAACCGUUGCUAAUGCCAGAUAACCCCUGCGUACCGCAUGGCGUGCAGGGCAAAGCUCCGGCGGUCUGGGAUCGGCCCGCGUCCUAUCAGCUUGUUGGUGGGGAACGGCCUACCAAGGCGAUGACGGGUAGCUGGCGUGAGAGCGUGGCCAGCCACACUGGGACUGAGACACGGCCCAGACUCCUACGGGAGGCAGCAGUGGGGAAUCUUGCGCAAUGGGCGAAAGCCUGACGCAGCGACGCCGCGUGAGGGAUGACGGCCU